CAGCCAUGCGCCUGGGCACACCAAGAGUGCAUGCUUAUGCAGUUUGAAAAGAAAACCCAUUGAAGAACAUUCAGAGGAAGUAAAAAUGAUGAAGCAUGUGCUGGCGGCAAUUGUCGGUCUUUGUUUCAGAGGCAGCUGUGGUCUUAGGAGAAAAAAGCACCAGAUGUGAAUCUAGACAGUCUCUUCCUGUGUCAAAUGGACAGCAACUAGGAGUGCGGGCGGCCGAAUUUUCGGAUUUCUCCACAUUCCUGACGAACGAAGAGACUGACAUGCCAGUUUACAGCACUGUCUUUGCUGUAGACAUAAACAACGUCACUUAGAAAUUGACAUGGAGAUUUGAUGUCACCAUGGAGACGCUGAUCCCACUGCUUUCCUGGUCCUCUCCUAUUGCUUGCCUGAGCCAUUCCUGAAGCCUCCACCCUCACUCUGUCCGUUCCAUCCCCCACAGCAGCCUUCAGAGGAAUCUUUUAAACAUUGGGGCUUCCCUGGUGGCGCAGUGGUUGAGAAUCUGCCUGCCGAUGCAGGGGACGCGGGUUCGAGCCCUGGUCUGGGAGGAUCCCACAUGCUGCGGAGCUACUGGGCCCGUGAGCCACAACUACUGAGCCUGCGCAUCUGGAGCCGUGCUCUGCAACGAAAGGCCGCGAGAGUGAGAGUCCCGCGCACCGCGAUGAGGAGUGGUCCCCGCUCGCCACAACUGGAGAAAGCCCUCGCACAGAAACGAAGACCCAACACAGCCAAAAAUAAAUAAAUAAAUAAAUAAAUUUAUUUAAAAAAAAACAAAACAAAACAUCCCAGUGAGUGUGAAGUGAUAUCUCACUGUGAUUUUAACUUGCAUUUCCCUGAUAACUAAUGAUGUUGAGCAUCUUUUCAUGUGCUUAUUGGCCAUUUGUGUAUCAUCUUUGAAGACAUGUCUAUUCAAAUUCUUUGCCCAAAAAUGGAGUUGUUUGUCUUUUUGUCUUUGAGUUGUAAUUCUUUAUAUACUUUGUGUAUUAAUCUCUUAUCAGAUAUAUGAUUUGCAAAUCUUUUCUCUCAUUCUGCGAGUUGCCUUUUUACUCUCUUGAUUGUUUCUUUUCGUACACAAAAGUUUUUAAUUUUUAUGAAUUUCAUUUUAUAUAUUUUUUUCUUUUGUUGGCUGUGUUUUUGGAGUCAUAUCCACGGAAUCAUUGCCAAAUCCAAAGUCGUGAAGCUUUUGCCCUAUGUUUUCUUAUUUUUUUUCCUCUUACGUUCAGGUCUCUGAUCCAUUUUGAGUUAAUUUUUUUUAAGUCUUUAUUGAAUUUCUUACAUAUUGCUUCUUUUUGUGUGUGUUUUGGUUUUUUGUCCACGAGGCAUGUUGGAUCUUAGCUCCCCGACCAGGGAUCGAACCCACACCCCUGCAUUGGAAGGCAAAGUCUUAACCACUGGACCGCCAGCGAAGUCCUGUUUUGAGUUAAUUUUUGCAUGUGAUGUUAGGUAAAGUUCAACUUCAUUCUUUUGCACGUGGAGAUCCAGUUUUUCCAGAACCAGCUGUUUUGUUGAAAACCCUGUCCUUUUCCCCAUUGAAUGAUCUUAGCAUCUCUAUCAAAAAUCAUUUGACCAUAUAUUUGAGGGUUUAUUUCUGGGAUCUUUAUUCCAUUGGUCUAUUUGUCUGUUUUCAUGCCAAUGCCACACUAUUCUGAUUAUUGCACCUUUGUAAGAAGUUUUGAAAUCAGGAAGUGUGAGUCCUCUAAAUUUGUUCUUCUUUUUCAAGAUUGUUUUGGCUAUUCAGGUUCCCUUGAGAUUCCAUAUAAAUUUUAUUGAUUUUAUUUUUUAAUUUUUUGGCCAUGCCACAUGGCAUGCAGGAUCUUAUUUCCCCGACAAGGGAUCAAACCCAUGCCCCCUGCAGUGGAAGCAUGGAGUCUUAACCACUGGACUGCCAGGGAAGUCCCAAGAUUCCAUAUAAAUUUUAGAGUAGGUUUUUUAUUUCUGCAAAAAAAUGUCAUUGCAAUUUUUAUAGGAGUAACAUUGAAUCUGUAUAUGCCUUUGGGUAGUAUUGUCAUCUUAACAAUAUAAGUUUUCAAACUAUGAACUCAGAUAUCUUUCCAUCUAUUUAUAUCUUCUUUAAUUUCUUUCAGCAACAUUUUGUAGUUUUCAACGUACAAGCAUUUUCCCUCCUUGGUUAAGUAUGUUCCUAAGUAUUUUAUUCUUUUUGAUGCUGUUGUAAGUAGAAUUGUUUUCUUAAGUUUCUUUUUGGGUUGUUCAUUGUUAGUGUAUAGAAACAUAACUGAUUUCUACAUGUUUAUUUUGUGUUCUGCUACUUUGCUGAAUUUGUUUAUUAGUUCCAACAGGGGUUUUUUGUUUGUUUUUUGUUUUGGUGUGUGUGGAGUCUUUAUGGGGUUUUCUACAUAUAAGAUCAUGUCAUCUGUGAAGAGAGAUCAUUUUACUUCUUCCUUUCCAAUUUAGAAGCCUUUUAUUUCUUUUUCUUGUCUAAUUGCUUUGGCUAGGCAUUCUAGUACUAAGUUGAAUGGAAUUGGUGAAAGCAGACAUCCUUGCUGUUAUAGACUGAGUGUGCCCAACCCCACAUUCAUAUAUUGAAAUCCCAACCCACAAUGUGAUGAUAUUAGGAGGUAAGGCCUUUGGGAAGUGAUUAGGUCAUGAGGGUAGAGCCCUCAUGAAUGGGAUUCCUGCCUUUAUAAAGAGAUCCCAGAGAGCUCUCUUGCCCUCAUUUCACCAUGUGAGGACACAACCAGAAGGCAGCUGUUUGCAACCCAGAGGAGAGCCUUCACCAGAGUCUGACCAUGCUGGCACCCUGA